rnacentral:RNase_P_RNA from 1 species
UUUGAGCAGUCGCGGCUAGCUAUUGCUAGCUGAGGAAAGUCCACGCACGCACGGGCUGCGAUGCCCGUAGUGAUCGUAUUCAGCCCAAUAAGCUGGAGGAAGCUUAGCUUCACGGCGGAGAAAACGCUAAAGCCUUUGGCCAUGCGCGAAUAUCCUGGAAGUGCCACAGUGACGAAGCAGGCGGGAAACCGACCUGGUGGAACGAGGUAAACCCUGCGAGCGUGUAACCCAAAAAUUUGGUAGGGGCGUCUCAACUUAGGUAAAUGAACUAAAAGUUGGACUACAUCUGUAGAGAUAGAUGGCUGCUGAAGCUGUCGCUUAGCCGGGCGCCAGCGGAACAGAACGUGGCUUAUAG